rnacentral:tRNA from 2 species
GGCUAUCUAGCUCAAACGGAUAAAAGAGCAACUGUCUUGUAAACAGUCGGCUGCGGGUUCGAGUCCCGCGAUAGCCUCCA